rnacentral:rRNA from 1 species
UACGUAGGUGACAAGCGUUGUCCGGAUUUACUGGGCGUAAAGAGCGCGCAGGCGGUCGUUCAAGUCGAGUGUGAAAGCCCCCGGCUACAACUGGGGAGGGUCACUCGAUACUGAUCGACUCGAAGGCAGGAGAGGGAAGUGGAAUUCCCGGUGUAGUGGUGAAAUGCGUAGAUAUCGGGAGGAACACCAGUGGCGAAGGCGACUUCCUGGCCUGUUCUUGACGCUGAGGCGCGAAAGCUAGGGGAGCAAACGGG